rnacentral:rRNA from 1 species
CAGUAGCCGCGGUAAAACGGAGGGAGCUAGCGUUGUUCGGAAUUACUGGGCGUAAAGCGCACGUAGGCGGCUUUGUAAGUUAGAGGUGAAAGCCUGGAGCUCAACUCCAGAAUUGCCUUUAAGACUGCAUCGCUUGAAUCCAGGAGAGGUGAGUGGAAUUCCGAGUGUAGAGGUGAAAUUCGUAGAUAUUCGGAAGAACACCAGUGGCGAAGGCGGCUCACUGGACUGGUAUUGACGCUGAGGUGCGAAAGCGUGGGGAGCAAACAGGAUUAGAUACCCCCCGUAGUCCCUGUCUCUUAUU